GGUUUAAAUUUCUUUGUCUCUUCCUAUUUCUUCUGAUAUUCAGAGAAGUCGAUUCCAAUUCCUUGAAGAAGAUGGCAAUGGAUGAUAAUUCAGUUUUCUUCAAGACUGAUUGUGCUUCUAUACUUUCACAGAUUAAGGAUCAUGAUAAGCAGAUUCGUCUCAAAAGAAGGUGGCUGUUGGGUUGUGAGAUGUCUGAAUCCAAGGACCAUACUCCGGGAAAGACUGAAUUCGUCCCUGAAUCUUUGCUCAGGGAAGAUGAUGUAUUCUACGAGACCAUAAAGUCGCGUGUAGAAGAGGCAUUUGGAUUUUGCAAGAAUGAACAAGUACUAUGUAAUGAUGUUCAACAAAAGGAGUUAAAGUUCUGCAAUCUCGAACUUGUUAGAAAGCUUGAUUCUUUGACGAAUAAAGGUCUUUAUCUUAUUGCAAUGAUACUCACAGGAGGCUCUACUUCGUUUGACAAGACUCGAUGGAAAAUGAAAGAGAUUAUCAGAGAUUCUGUCAGUAGAGACUUUGGAAAGAAUAAAGACGGUAUUGGUAAAGAAGACAUUAUUAAUCAGCUGCAUCAAGUUCUUAGUGAUCCCGCAAAUUUCCGGGAAGAUUGCAGGAUGAAUUUGGGGAGAACACCUACUCUGCAUUCCCAUCGUGAUGCUGCAAUGAAGAUACUUAAUGAGCUAGAUGGUUUGUCGACUCAGACCCUACGUGCGAUGAAAAGGAAACUUAAAGGUUCAAGAAUGAUACCUCAACUGAAAACAAGUAGAUUUGGUCAGAGUCGAAGUGAUCUGAUUAACCAAGUGAGGCAAGCUAGCGAGAAGAUGCUCUCAGAACUUUCUGCAGGGGGUAAACUGCAGGAGCAAUUGGCUAAAGCGUUGUCAGUAGUAGAUUUAUCACUUAAGCUAAGUCCUGGCUACAAAACUGCUGCUGCCACAGAAUUUUUUCGGUUCUCGCCAGAAACAAAGAACUUGCAGAACGAGAUAGUGAAGGCAGUAUGGUUACUCCGUAAGGUCAGGUUUCGUGAGCUAAAAAGAUUGCAUCUUUGUUUAGACCCAGAAGCUGAAGUGUCUAAUGACAGCUUAAGAUCAGCAGUCAGAAAAAUGUUGAUUGAAUAUCUGUUUGAGUGCAGUGAUAUGGACACCAUUCCAAAGUCUUUAAUGGAAGCUCUUUCAUUGGUCAACAGGAGGACGCGGAAUGUAGAGCACAAGGUAUGUCCAAGGGAAGCAAUUGAUGAAGAGACAGAGUGUAUAUUAAAUGUGAGUGCUCAAGUGAAGCAAAUAUGUUGCCAAUGUACUCCAAAUUAUGAACUCGAUCAAGACUUUGGUGAUGCUUAUAUGGAGGAGCUAGAAGACAGUGAUGAUAAUGAUAAUGAUGAUGGUGGGGAUUGUAGAUUAUUUGAUAAUGAGAAAUUUGUUAAUGAAGAGAGUAGAUGCCGAAACAUAAAGCUUGAAGUGAAAAACUCUCAAGGCGAUGCAAUGGAGUCCUCUGAUUCGGAUCAUGAAGAAAGUGGUGCUGAAUGCUUGGUUUUGGACCCAACUGAUUCUACACACACAACCAACCAGCAUGAUAUCAGCUCUUCUGUCAAUAAGGUAGUUGUAAGAGACCUGCCAGAGAGUAUUACAAGAGUUCAUCCUAGGUCUCUCUAUGUCACUCCCACGUCCAAUAAAUCAACAGUUAUCAGUGAUAGACAUGACAUUGGUACGAGCAAAACCCGAGUCAAGGUUGAGAGGGAUAUUGAGAUGGAAGUAGAUAACCAAUUUAGCUCUCGGUCAUUGUUUUCUGUUGAAAACAUAAAGUCUGAUGAUCAUGGUGAGCAGAAGCCACAAAGAAGACAUAAAAACCAGUACCUCGCAGUCCAAGAAAUUUCUGAUGAGACAAGCUUGGUUGCACAUAACCUAAUCGGCCGCUUGCUAGAGAAAUUUGCAGACCGUCAAGGUCUAAACUUAGAAACGGAUGAACGUUCAUAUCUUAGAGGCGAAUCCAGGCUUCAAGAAGAUGUAGAAGCAGUGAAUGGAGAAAAGCAAGCUUCAUCUCAAGCGAAGUCAGAUGAGUUGAUCAUUGUUUCUGUUAUCAAAGAGCAAAUGCCUUCCCUUGAAGAGAGUGUCUUGAUGAGAUUAAAAGAGUUGAUGGAAGUAAGUUAGCAUCAGCAAAGUUAUAAUAUUUCCUACCAAAGUGAAGUAGCAAUGGAAUGAAGAGAGAAACAACAAAGGAUAUUGAGAUGAACACAACAACGAAUACAAUUUUGCAUCACAUUGUGAUCUUUGCCGUACACUGAACAACAAACAUUGAUCGUCAGCAUAGUUGUCCCUGAUCAAACGAAGGUUGUUGGUGCAAGGACGAGGUGGUCUUUCUUGUGCAUAGUGAGUAACUGAGUCUCACGAGAAUGGUUCUAGUCUUCUAGAAAGCAUCAUCAUUCUACGAUUCCACGGAUCAAUUGUAAACGGUAAAAUAACAGACAUGAAUUGUGUUACAAUAUAUCGACAAGAACCACUUUCAAA